GAUGAACGCUGGCGGCGUGCCUAAUACAUGCAAGUCGAGCGAACGGACGAGAAGCUUGCUUCUCUGAUGUUAGCGGCGGACGGGUGAGUAACACGUGGAUAACCUACCUAUAAGACUGGGAUAACUUCGGGAAACCGGAGCUAAUACCGGAUAAUAUUUUGAACCGCAUGGUUCAAAAGUGAAAGACGUCCUUGCUGUCACUUAUAGAUGGAUCCGCGCUGCAUUAGCUCGUUGGUAAGGUAACGGCUUACCAAGGCAACGAUGCAUAGCCGACCUGAGAGGGUGAUCGGCCACACUGGAACGGAGACACGGUCCAGACUCCUACGGGAGGCAGCAGUAGGGAAUCUUCCGCAAUGGGCGAAAGCCUGACGGAGCAACGCCGCGUGAGUGAUGAAGGUCUUCGGAUCGUAAAACUCUGUUAUUAGGGAAGAACAUAUGUGUAAGUAACUGUGCACAUCUUGACGGUACCUAAUCAGAAAGCCACGGCUAACUACGUG
rnacentral:rRNA from 1 species